GUUACCUGGCAACAGCCAGGUUGCCCAGCCCACUAUAAAAGGAGCUGCUUGCCUCCUCCUUGCCCUCCUGCUCCCUCUCUUACCCUCUCACUCUUACUCUCUUAGUCUCUGGCUCUUACUCUCACCACUUGCCCUCCUGCUUCCCCUCUCUUCCCCCCUUGUCUCCACAUGAGCAUAGCCAGUCUCUACUUCACUACUCUUUUCCCUUGCUCUGCCUUUCUACAAUAAUCGCCUUAAAAACCAUAGAGUGCCUCUUCAUAUUGGGACCUGCCUUGCUGGAGCAAUGGAGCAGGUCUUUCCCUAAAGAGCUAAGGCUCUAACCUCCCACUGGGAGGCCUCCCAGCAACAGACAAGCAAGCUGCAGACUUGGUAACAAGUUGGAGCUCUCACCUCCUUGACCCUUUCACUUAGGCCCUGGGCCAGAGAUUGCUUUUGGGCCACCACAGGUUCUCAGCUCUUCCUCGGCAUACCGCAGCAUCUGGGAUGUCUGAGAGCCUGAGAACCUGGAGACCCCGUCGGGUCCACAGGGAUCUCAGACUGUGCCUUUCCCACCCCCAAAGUGGGUCCUGCGGCCUCUUAUAACCGAACACCCACCCAGCAGUGAUGUGGGGGUGCAUGCAGUCAAACUUCCGGGGUCCUCCUCCCCCAGCUGCCCUAGCCCGGAGUGGACAGAGGCCCCUACUUUUUAACCCACAUCUUGGUCUUCUUGUAACAAUGUGAGCCAGGCUAAUUCCAAAUAAAAUAUAUAUCCCCAUAUAUAACUUAAUGGAACAUUGUAACAUGAAUAUAAACUAAAUCCUUAUACAAUUCCGAGAAAUAACCAAUGACUUUUGCUGCUAUUCCUAGAGGCAGUGUGAUGAAGUUGUAGCAUGCAUGGUAUCAUGGAGUCCAAACUGAGAAUGAACAGCUAAGAUCUGUGGAAUAUUUCAGAGAACAGGAUACAAUUGUUAACAAAAGUACCAUGAGACUGUCCAACAAGAGAAUAAUAAGAAACAAAGGCCUUUUGAGAGAGCAGGACAUACCUGUAUACACUGGAGAUAUAAAGGAAUAUCAGAACAAGAUAGUGCUAACAGAUCAUGAAAAAGGCAACUUAUAGAAGAAACCAUGUACUGGAAGUCCAGUCAGCACAAGGUACCAGUGAGAAGAGAAAAUAAAAAAUUACAAGUUCUGACAACAGGCAGCUCUCCACUUGGCUAGAAGUUUGGGAGAGCAUUAACACGAAGAGACUGUGAUAAACACUGUGUACUCCUCUACUCUGUUCGGGAACUGGACGAGAUCAUUUGCAUCUGUUUGACAGUAUGAUAUUUUGUGCUAUCUACAGGAAAUAUUCUAAUUUCGCAAUAUUCCUUCUAAGCUAUCCAACACAUGAACACAUUGAGAAUAUCAUCAAGAAGGAAAGUCAAAUGUGUUGCAGAUCUCUUUCUAGAAAAUGACAGUUUCAGUCACUCAAUAUGAAGUUCUUGGAACAGUUAAGAUGACAUGGGUCAUGAAUUCGGAAAGGGAAUUAUGAGAAACCAACGCAGGAGAGAGAAUACCCUUUCCAUGUGCUACAGAGAACUCUCACUGUCAUGGCGCAAGGGAAAAUAACCAUUGGAGAUCUUGAAAAGUCGAUAUCUGGAAGGAAGAAGACAUUCAGCCCUGCAGCUUGCCUGGGGUUAACCGCAUACAUUUUCAAACUAGUUCAUAGAAGAGUUCCCCCAGCAUUGGGGAAAACAUUUACUAAUGGUACUGAAAGGUAAAAUAAUUAUUUUUCUUUUUUUCUAUUGGGAUUCUCCCCAUUCUUUCCAUGUCAUGUGUUGCCACUCUGGGGACUGUAGAUUUUGCAGCCAUGGUUUCCUCAAGUAAAGCUGAUGUAAGAUGAAACGAAGAAUGUGGGCUUUCCAUGUGGAUUUAGAAUAG
rnacentral:lncRNA from 1 species